rnacentral:rRNA from 1 species
AAACUGCGAAUGGCUCAUUAAAUCAGUUAUCGUUUAUUUGAUAGUACCUUACUACUUGGAUAACCGUGGUAAUUCUAGAGCUAAUACAUGCUGAAAACCCCGACUUCGGGAGGGGUGUAUUUAUUAGAUAAAAAACCAAUGCCCUUCGGGGCUCUUUGGUGAUUCAUGAUAACUUUUCAGAUCGCAUGGCCUUGCGCCGGCGACGGUUCAUUCAAAUUUCUGCCCUAUCAACUUUCGAUGGUAAGGUAUUGGCUUACCAUGGUUUCAACGGGUAACGGGGAAUUAGGGUUCGAUUCCGGAGAGGGAGCCUGAGAAACGGCUACCACAUCCAAGGAAGGCAGCAGGCGCGCAAAUUACCCAAUCCCGACACGGGGAGGUAGUGACAAUAAAUACUGAUACAGGGCUCUUUUGGGUCUUGUAAUUGGAAUGAGUACAAUUUAAACCUCUUAACGAGGAACAAUUGGAGGGCAAGUCUGGUGCCAGCAGCCGCGGUAAUUCCAGCUCCAAUAGCGUAUAUUAAAGUUGUUGCAGUUAAAAAGCUCGUAGUUGAACCUUGGGCCUGGCUGGCAGGUCCGCCUCACCGCGUGUACUUGUCCGGCCGGGCCUUUCCUUCUGGAGAACCUCAUGCCCUUCACUGGGUGUGCUGGGGAACCAGGACUUUUACUUUGAAAAAAUUAGAGUGUUCAAAGCAGGCCUUUGCUCGAAUACGUUAGCAUGGAAUAAUAGAAUAGGACGUGCGGUCCUAUUUUGUUGGUUUCUAGGACCGCCGUAAUGAUUAAUAGGGACAGUCGGGGGCAUCAGUAUUCAAUUGUCAGAGGUGAAAUUCUUGGAUUUAUUGAAGACUAACUACUGCGAAAGCAUUUGCCAAGGAUGUUUUCAUUAAUCAGUGAACGAAAGUUAGGGGAUCGAAGACGAUCAGAUACCGUCGUAGUCUUAACCGUAAACUAUGCCGACUAGGGAUCGGGCGAUGUUUCUAUCUUGACUCGCUCGGCACCUUACGAGAAAUCAAAAGU